GAGGGUGCAAGCGUUAAUCGGAAUUACUGGGCGUAAAGCGUGCGUAGGCGGCUCGUUAAGUCAGAUGUGAAAGCCCUGGGCUCAACCUGGGAACUGCAUUUGAAACUGGCGAGCUAGAGUUUGAGAGAGGUCAGUGGAAUUUCAGGUGUAGCGGUGAAAUGCGUAGAGAUCUGAAGGAACACCAGUGGCSAAGGCGACUUACUGGCUUAAAACUGACGCUGAGGUACGAAAGCGUGGGUAGCAAACAGGAUUAGAUACCCUGGUAGUCCACGCCGUAAACGAUGUCAACUAGCCGUUGGUCUCUUUGAGAGUUAGUGGCGCAGCUAACGCAUUAAGUUGACCGCCUGGGGAGUACGGCCGCAAGGUUAAAACUCAAAUGAAUUGACGGGGGCCCGCACAAGCGGUGGAGCAUGUGGUUUAAUUCGA
rnacentral:rRNA from 1 species